UGGGAAGAUGUGACAAAGGAAGCAGUGUCAGAGUCAAAGAGAGAUUUGAAGAUCCUACACUGCUGGUUUUGAAGUUGGAGGAAUGGACCAUCAGCCA